rnacentral:rRNA from 1 species
UAGAGUUUGAUCCUGGCUCAGAUUGAACGCUGGCGGCAGGCCUAACACAUGCAAGUCGAGCGGAAUCGAGUUAACUGAACCUUCGGGGGACGUUAACGGCGUCGAGCGGCGGACGGGUGAGUAAUGCCUAGGAAAUUGCCCUGAUGUGGGGGAUAACCAUUGGAAACGAUGGCUAAUACCGCAUGAUGCCUACGGGCCAAAGAGGGGGACCUUCGGGCCUCUCGCGUCAGGAUAUGCCUAGGUGGGAUUAGCUAGUUGGUGAGGUAAGGGCUCACCAAGGCGACGAUCCCUAGCUGGUCUGAGAGGAUGAUCAGCCACACUGGAACUGAGACACGGUCCAGACUCCUACGGGAGGCAGCAGUGGGGAAUAUUGCACAAUGGGCGCAAGCCUGAUGCAGCCAUGCCGCGUGUGUGAAGAAGGCCUUCGGGUUGUAAAGCACUUUCAGUCGUGAGGAAGGUAUAU